GGACUGAGACACGGCCCAGACUCCUACGGGAGGCAGCAGCUAAGAAUCUUCCGCAAUAGUCGAUAGACUGACGGAGCGACGCCGCGUGAGUGAUGAAGGCCUUUUAGGUUGUAAAACUCUUUUAUAUUGGACGAAUAUAUAGUAUUAGACUAAUAUUGACCGUAACUUUAUGAAGAAGGUCCGGCAAACUGACGGCCCAGCAUCCCUCGGUAAUACGUAGGGACCGAGCGUUGUUCGGAAUUAUUGGGCGUAAAGGGUAUGUAGGCGGUCUAUUCAGUUAGAUGUGAAAAAUCUGGGCUCAACCGAGAUCUUGCGUCUAAUACUGAUAGGCUAGAGUCUCUGAGAGGAAAGGCGGAAUUCCUGGUGUAGGGGUAAAAUCUAUAGAUAUCAGGGAGAACACCCGGUUGCGAAGGCGGCCUUCUUGGCAGAGGACUGACGCUGAGGUACGAAAGUUAGGGUAGCAAACAGGAUUAGAGACCCUGGUAGUCCUAACCGUAAACGUUUGUAUACUAGGUGGUUUGAAGUAUUGAUCCUUUGACUGCCGCAGCAAACGCAUUAAGUAUACCGCCUGGGGAGUAUGCCGGCAACGGUGAAACUCAAAGGAAUUGACGGGGGCCCCGCACAAGCAGUGGAGCAUGUUGCUUAAUUCGAUGAUACGCGAGUAACCUUACCAGGUCUUGACAUAUACCUGUCUGGUGUAGAAAUACAUCAUUGCUUCGGCACGGGUAUACAGGUGCUGCAUGGUUGUCGUCAGCUCGUGCCGUGAGGUGUUGGGUUAAGUCCCGCAACGAGCGCAACCCUUAUUCUUUGUUGCUAACAGGUUAAGCUGAGCACUCUAAGGAGACUGCCGGUGACAAACCGGAGGAAGGUGGGGACGACGUCAAAUCAUCACGGCCCUUAUGACCUGGGCUGCAAACGUGCUACAAUGGGUGGUACAAAGAGUUGCGAGACCGCGAGGUGGAGCUAAUCUCAAAAAACUAUCCUCAGUUCGGAUUGGAGUCUGAAACCCGACUCUAUGAAGUUGGAAUUGCUAGUAAUCGCACAUCAUCAUGGUCCGGCGAAUACGUUCCCGGGGCUUGUACACACCGCCCGUCACAUCACCCGAGUUGAUAUACCCGAAGU
rnacentral:rRNA from 1 species